rnacentral:sRNA from 1 species
CCACUCAGAUGAGAUGCUAUAGCAGAUCUCGCAUUGACAUUGAUGCUGCAACUCCCAGAUUUUAGUCUCAAGGUUGCUGAACAGCUCAUCCUUCAUAGUCAUCUCUGCACACAGAGUGCCACACUCCUUCUUCCAGUGUCUGCACUUCUUCCUCCAGCUUCCUCCUCUUCACACACUCCACCUUGAAAAUGAUUGGAUGAUUUUUGUUUUUUCAGUGGCUGCUCCAUUUUGAACUCCAGAGCAUCAGAGGACACUAAAUCAUCAGAUGGACCAUCAUAGAUUGAAUAGCUGUAGUCUGUGAAGAUUCUCUUUCUUUGUGAUCUUCAUGUCCCUUGUGCCAGGGGCUGUUCAUCUGUCUCAUCUGAAAUGAUGAUGACAGUGCAGCAACUAUCAGCUGAUGCCAUAGCUAAGAGAUGGAAAGAUAAUUGUGUU